GCUCAGAAAUGCAAGAAUGUGGCCUGGCGCGGUGAUUCACAUCUGUAAUCCCAGCCCUUUGUGAGGCCGAGACGGGUGGAUCGCCUGAUGUCAGGAGUUCAAGACCAGCCUAGCCAACAUGGUGAAACCCCGUCUCUACUAAAAUUACAAAAAUUAGCCAGCCGUGGUGGCAGGCACCUGUAAUCUCAGCUACUUGGGAGGCUGCCAUAAGAGAAUCGCUUGAACCCACAGGCGGAGGUUGCAGUGAGCCGAGACUGUACCAUAGCACUACAGCCUGGGGAACAAGAGCAAAACUCCAUCUCAAAAAAAGACAAAAAUCAAAACAAAAAUGGAAGAAUGCAAUGAUAGUGUCUGAAGCUUCUUUGGAGGGACUCCUUCCACAUGGGGCAGGUUAUUCCGGAAGCAGCUCCAGAACUUCAAAUAAUUAUAUUACACAGUCAGCACACCGUUUUCUAAGGGCUAGAUUCAUGCAUUCUUUCAGUGUUUGAGGGCCUGCUGUGUGCUGAUGCUGCUUCAGGAUCUGGAUGUGGAGAGAUGAGUAAGCCAGACAGCUCUGAUCAAAUACAAUUGUUUGUGUUUUAAACUUGCCAAGGGCAUCAUGGACUCUUCUGGCAAUUACAUGAUUAAAACAUAGUUUUAAGAGAAAGGAAAGUCAUCAUUUUUCUUUUUGCCAAGAUGUAAACUAAGAUGCAUGACUGGGAAAAUGUCAUCUUAUAGGAUCAUGCCUAUGGACAAGGGCUUAUGGCAAAACUGUGGAGCUCAGCUUGGAGUGCCCCGAAUCUGAGCACAGCAGGAUGACAAAUACAGAAGCAAGGAUGGGUGGUCUGUGGGAGGGGAGAUGAAGGGGAGUUGCGGGAUGGAUUGCAGUAGUGCUGGGGGCCCUGACAGUGGAUCAGGCCAGGAGUCCUCCUGAGCUGUCCUGGUGGCCCCUGGAACCACCAAUGUGAUGGAACUUCUCCUGGUCCAGUGAGCACCCUGGGUGGUACAGGAAAGAAACACACUGGAGCAGGCAUUCCGCACUCAGGGAACCACCCCAGGACAGCUGUGUGUUUGUGCCUUCUUCCUCUUCGUGGCUUUCCUCGAAAGGUGGCAUGGCCUCAGGCUGCCAUCACACCCUUCUUCCCCUUGGGCCUUCUGGCCUGACACUCCGUGUGCCUCCCUGCCUGCCUCCUGCUUCUGAUUUCAAUCCUUGGACUCUCAACAACUCGUCUCCCUUUGUCAAUAUGGAGAAUGUGUAACAAAUGGCCUCUGUUUGGCGGAGGUGGGACGGCUGACACCUAUGAAUGGACCUCUGGACAGCUCCUCCUGCCAGACCAAGGCCACAGGGACCCAGACAGUGACAGCAGGCAAAGAAGCUGCAUUCUGGCCCGGGACUCUUGGAGUACUCACCAGCCAUGAGGGACGAAGGCUGAGAUGCAACGUGAAACAUGGACAUAAAUGUGGUUGUUUUGUAUAACCCCCCAAAUAACUGGGGGAGAUGCUACCUCUCUCCAUAGUUUUUUUACUUGGUGACACGCAGCAUAUAUAUGAGAAUGAAGGAAGGAUCUUGAAGAUCAUGGUUCCCACACAAAUUACAAGCACCAUCGUUAAUGCGUGGUUACAGUAAAGAGUCCUAUCCAGUUUCUCAACUGCCAACCCCCACCCCUCGUAUGAGGACUAUGAGACAUCAUAACCUGCAGGUAGAGUUCAGUAUUCAACAAAAUGAGCAGCUGUCAUCCUGGCUGUCACCUGGUGAACCAGAGGCUGGUGUUUCCUACUUAAGAACAUCUAUCUAGCCCGGACCGACAGCCAGAGUGCCAGCGUCUACUGCAGAGGCCGCACGGCAACUCAAGAAUGUUUUCUCACUUUGCUGCCCCAUCGAGGUCACAGGUCUUGAUGGAAUGUGAAACUGCAGUUUUCUCGGUGCUCGCUAGCUCAGCAGCCAUGGCGAUGGUUUCCUAAAUACAUUUGGAAGAUGAGUGGAACACUCUUUGGGAGCAUUUUACCAACAGAUAAAAUACAUUAGCCAUGUGGAAAAUGAGCAAACUGGUAUCUGAAUCAGGGAUCCAUGUGCAGGCUCUGAGCGAUCUAAUGGAGAAGACCACUGUGCCUCUGCCCAGAGUGGCCCCAAGCUCGAGAGUCACGCAAGAACACACAGGUAGGGUGGCCACACGCAGCACGGUGAGUGAGGGACGCCGAGGGUGACUCCACAAGUCUUUGGAGGGAUUUCAAUCAAGGGAUUUCUUCUUCUCUACAGCGGGCAGAUGAGAGGCAGAAUUCAAAGCACUUGUCCAUUUAAAGAGUGAAUGUAAGAUUUUAGUAAUACACAAAAGCAACUUCACUUUUAGGCCCCAAACCAG
rnacentral:lncRNA from 1 species